rfam:Oceanibulbus sp. HI0023 HI0023_c344, whole genome shotgun sequence.
GGCUUAUUUUGCGAUGGCGGAGCUCGACCGCCGGUCGAAGUGAUGGUGGAUUUCGUUGAAGCGCAUCGCGAUGCGCAUGGGGUCGAGCCGAUCUGCACGGUGAGCCGCCGAAGGCGCCA